GUGCGGGGGCAGGAAAAAGGAGCCUGGGUGAGGGGGCCGGCAGGGGCAGUGGGGGAGGGACUCUUAUCCUGACAGGGCUCCCGCCUUCCCCGACUGGAGGGUUUGGAAAAACUGAGCAGGCAGCCAAGGCUUGGCUGGAAAUCCUGCAGCCCACCCUCCUGGGGACACAAAGCUGGAGGGCGGAGGCAGGGCGGGGGAAGAGAGCACGACCCCGGGGAGGGCAGGGCCUCUUUUGGGGCUGGGGGCCCAGGGGCCAGGUCCCUGGGGAGGGGGUUCCUGGCGCUGUCUCCCUGCAGUCUGUUUCCCCCUUCUCCUCCACUCCCCCUCUCCUCGCCCCCCCCUCCUCCCCCUCCCCGGCUCCAGUCUUGCAGAUUGCGGGCAGACUUAACUCCUUGAGUGCCAGCCUGGUGGACUCCGAGGUGGUGACGCUGGGAGGGAGGGAGGGAGGGAGGAGACUCCGGACCCCACUCCCACCACUGUUUAACACCUUGUGGCCCGGAACGCAGUCUCGGGAUCUGGGCUGGUCAGAGCCCUGGAAGGUUGCCUGGUACUCGAGGAGAGAUACACAAAACCCGGCACCCGAGAGCUGCGUAAUCUGGCCCAUUCUGCUGCCAAAUCUUAACCGUCUACACUCCCGCCACCCCGGUCCUCUGUGUCUCUCCCUCCACUCUUCGGCUACCCUCCCCCCACUACCCGACCCACCAGUCGUUACAAAGGUCCCCGACCGACAGAAGGCUCGUGAGAACCCAGAAGUCUGGGUUCUGUGGCUGCCCCAGCAUUCUCUGUAUCCUCUGUGAGGCCCAGCGCGGGUGACCACAACCCGUACCUCUUGUGCCUCCAGGGGGCUCCUUCACCUUUCUGCGGAGGUAGCUGCCCAACUGAGGCAGGGAAUGGUAGCCUCCGCCAGCCCCAGCUGGAACAAGGGCCUGAGUAACUGGAAACCCUGACUUCACCUCCACCCUAGCCCCUUUCUCGGGCACCACCCCCUCCGCCAUCAGAUUGGCCUUCCAGUUCGGCUCUGAAUGACUCUGCCCGAGCAAAGAAAACCAGGCCAGGCAGGAAGGGGUUAACGGAGCUAGCCGACUCCGUGUGAGAGCCAGGACCUACUAUGCACUGGGCACUGGAUGAGACGAUGCGUCUAUGUUGGGGAACAAGACAGAUGUGUCACCCUCAGAGCCUGCAGUCUAGGUGGGGAUGGGCACGGAACUCUCUGGCCCAAGGGGAAAAUGGCACCCCUGGACUGUGGACAACCCCCUGAACGAGGCAUAUCCUCAGUCCCAGCAGGGCCUAACGCCUGCUC